AACCAUAGAAACCUGCGGAGUACCUGCGGAGGGAUCAUUAACACUUAUGUACACUUUGUCGCGUCAGUUUACGCUUCGGUUGUGAGUCGUAAAACACUCUCAGCCGCAGGCGCAAAACGGCGGCAAUAAGCACCCAGUGAUUUUGUUGAAGUGAAAAGCAACAGCGUUAAAAAUGGUAGCCAUUCACGUGGUUACCGCGCUACUUUUCACCCCUUCAUAAACACCCUAAACUAUUACACU
rnacentral:misc_RNA from 1 species